AAGUCGUAACAAGGUAACCGUAGGUGAACCUGCGGUUGGAUCAUUAACAAAAAAUUGGAAGGCUUUUUUGAAUACUCUUCGGAAAAGCCUUUUAAAAACACCAAUUGUGAACUGUAUUAUUGUUUCUUUUCUGUGGUUUUAUCAUAAACUAGCAACGCCUUGUUUUUGUGAUAGCCCAGAAAAAACCCUUUUAAACUUAAAGAAUUAUACCAUUUUGACCAUUAAAUAAAAGUUUGAAAUUUUUUUUAAACAUUAAAAAAACAACUUUUGGCAACGGAUCUCUAGGCUCUU
rnacentral:misc_RNA from 1 species